rnacentral:rRNA from 1 species
CACGUAGGGUGCGAGCGUUGUCCGGAAUUAUUGGGCGUAAAGAGCUCGUAGGCGGUGUGUCGCGUCGGCCGUGAAAACCUGGGGCUUAACUCUGGGCUUGCGGUCGAUACGGGCAUCACUGGAGUUCGGCAGGGGAGACUGGAAUUCCUGGUGUAGCGGUGAAAUGCGUAGAUAUCUGGAGGAAUACCGGUGGCGAAGGCGGCAUCCUGGACCGACAUUGACGCUGAUGAGCGAAAGCUAGGGGAGCAACGGG